GUACACUUAAAAAGUGAAUGUUACUGUAUGUAUAUUAUAUGUUAAUUUUUUUAAAUGGAAUCUCCGUUUGUUAUCCAGGCUGGAGUGCAGUGGUGUGAUCUUGGCUCGCUGCAACCUCUGCCUCCCGGGUUCAAGUGAUUCUCAUGCCUCAGCCUCCCGAGUAGCUGGGAUUAUAGGCACCUGCCACCAUUCCCGGCAGGUGCCAGUGAAGCCAUUGUUCCAGCUCACUCAGUGGGACUUGGGACAGGAAACAGGAGAUCUGGGGAGCUGGUGGGACGCUUACUAGCUACCUGACCUUGGAUGAAUGAUUCGUUCCUCCAGAGCUUCUGUUUCUUCACCUAUGAAAAGGGAGAAGAUGCCACCUCAUUCUAAGGAGCUGCAUGGGGACUAAAGGAAAAAUCUUGACACUCAAACGCAAUUUUCUGUUGUUACAGGGCCAAGGAGCUCUGGGCCUGAGAGGGGAAGAGUCUGGUCAGCAUUGCCCAGUAUUAUAGCUGGAUGUUUGCCCACCGGAACCUCAUGUUGAAAUUUGAUCCUCAAUGUUGGAGAUGCUGUAGGAGAUGCUAUGGGUGCCUGCUGGGCCCCUGUGCCUACCCCCAGCUGCCCAGGGCUGAAGAGAAGAGCUGGACUUCUUUCCUGGGACUUACUCCUGAUCUACAAAGUUACUUCACCUAGAAAUACCUGGGAAGUUACGCCCUUCCCAGGGCUGGCGGAGAAAACACAUUAUGUUAUGCACAAUUUGGGACAUAUACUAAAAAAUAAUUUGUUGUUUAUCUGAAA
rnacentral:lncRNA from 1 species